rnacentral:lncRNA from 1 species
AUGCAGCAGAUAUUGGCAGGGAAGAAUGGUAUUUCUGCAUAUGCUGCAUGGAGGUUUCUGAAGAUGGCCUUCAGCUAUGAGGAAUGGGAUGCAUUUGAUCAUGCAACUCUUCUGUUUUUUUCUUUUCUUCAGAGUCAAAAUAAUCAAGCAUGGAAGAAAGCAGAAGCUGAACUCAAAAUACUUAUAGUAAUGCAGCCUCUACUAUCUACUAGGAAACCAAGGCAUGGUUUGUGUGUUCAAGGAAAUAAUAUCCGAGAAGCAAUUGUUUUCCGUAGUCCAGGGAAAAAAUCCAUUGCGUUUCAAGGUAUGUUAUAGUUGUUUACAGUUAUAAGAUGCAAUAAUUUAUUUGAGUUAAUGGUUGCAUAUGGAGUUUUACAGGAAAUAGAGAAAGUAAAAAUAAUAUUAGUCUACUGCUUGGCAGUCUACAAAAUGUAACUAAUACCAUUACCUGGUCAAUAUUUGCUGUGAUGUAACAGGUUACAGUGCCUUUGCAUGCACUGCUGCUGUAAUAGGCCAUGUGAAGUUCUACUGCUGCUGCAAUGUAAAAGUUUUUUUGUUUUGUUUUGUUGUUUGCUGUGAUGUAACAGGUUACAGUGCCUGUACGCUCCCUUUGCAUGCACUGCUGCUGUAAUAGGCUAUGUGAAAUUCUUCUGCUGCUGUAAUGUAAAAGUUUUUUGUUUUGUUAUGUUAUUGUUAUUUCAAAGGGAUAGGCACUUUAGUCGGCAGAAGCAAAGACAACAUCGUCAUAUGACACCUUAAAGACUGGCAAGUUUUGUUUGGCA